UGUUGAAUUUAGGUCACUUCUGGUUUCAUUUAGGGCACUUAUUGUUGAAAUAAGGUCACUUCCCGUUUGAUUUGGGUCACUUCGUUUGAUUAGGGGCACUUCCCGUUUACCUGAGGUCACUUCCGGUUUGAUUUGGGGCACUUCCGGUUUACCUGAGGUCACUUCCGGUUUAUUUGGGGUCACUUCCGGUUUGAUUUGGAGCACUUCCAGUUCAUUCAGGGUUCAUUGGGAGCACUUCAGGGUUAAUCCAAAAUCCAAGAUGGCCGCCACAUUGGAAGUUGGGGUCAAGGGUUGAAAUGUGUAAGCAUAGUGGAAGUGGGUGUGAAGGGGGUGAAUAUGGUAAGCAUAAGGUGAAUAAAGUGAAUACAGUUGGAAUGGGUUGAAUCGGUUGAAAAAUGUAGAAAUUAGGGUAGAAAAAACACAUUUUGGAGAAUUUGGUUGAAUUUCAAAUUUGAAAUGGAAUUUUUGUUAAGUGGGAAGGUGUGGAUUAGGUAGGCAAAAGAUGAACAGUUGAAAGUCGGAACGAGUUGAAUCGGUU